GAAGGGUGCAAGCGUUACUCGGAAUUACUGGGCGUAAAGCGUGCGUAGGUGGUUCGUUAAGUCUGUCGUGAAAGCCCCGGGCUCAACCUGGGAAUGGCGAUGGAUACUGGCGGGCUAGAGUGCGGUAGAGGAGAGUGGAAUUCCCGGUGUAGCAGUGAAAUGCGUAGAGAUCGGGAGGAACAUCAGUUGCGAAGGCGGCUCUCUGGACCAGCACUGACACUGAGGCACGAAAGCGUGGGGAGCAAACAGGAUUAGAUACCCUGGUAGUCCACGCCCUAAACGAUGCGAACUGGACGUUGGGAGCAAUCAGGCUCUCAGUGUCGAAGCUAACGCGUUAAGUUCGCCGCCUGGGGAGUACGGUCGCAAGACUG
rnacentral:rRNA from 1 species